GACGAACGCUGGCGGCGUGCCUAAUACAUGCAAGUAGAACGCACAGUUUAUACCGUAGCUUGCUACACCAUAGACUGUGAGUUGCGAACGGGUGAGUAACGCGUAGGUAACCUGCCUGGUAGCGGGGGAUAACUAUUGGAAACGAUAGCUAAUACCGCAUAAUAUUGAUUAUUGCAUGAUAAUUGAUUGAAAGAUGCUAUUGCAUCACUACCAGAUGGACCUGCGUUGUAUAAGCUAGUAGGUGAGGUAACGGCUCACCUAGGCGACGAUACAUAGCCGACCUGAGAGGGUGGUCGGCCACACUGGGACUGAGACACGGCCCAGACUCCUACGGGGGGCAGCAGUAGGGAAUCUUCGGCAAUGGACGAAAGUCUGACCGAGCAACGCCGCGUGAGUGAAGAAGGUUUUCGGAUCGUAAAGCUCUGUUGUAAGAGAAGAACGGGUGUGAGAGUGGAAAGUUCACACUGUGACGGUAUCUUACCAGAAAGGGACGGCUAACUACGUG
rnacentral:rRNA from 1 species